CAGUCGCCGCGGGAAUACGAAGGGUGCAAGCGUUAAUCGGAAUUACUGGGCGUAAAGCGUGCGUAGGCGGUGAGUUAAGUCUGCUGUGAAAUCCCCGGGCUCAACCUGGGAAUGGCAGUGGAUACUGGCUCGCUAGAGUGUGUCAGAGGAUGGUGGAAUUCCCGGUGUAGCGGUGAAAUGCGUAGAGAUCGGGAGGAACAUCAGUGGCGAAGGCGACCAUCUGGGACAACACUGACGCUGAGGCACGAAAGCGUGGGGAGCAAACAGGAUUAGAUACCCGGGUAGUCCCUGUCUCUUAUAC
rnacentral:rRNA from 1 species